GGGCCUAUAGCUUAGUUGGUAGAGCACUAGUUUCCGGAGAUUAGGGUUCCUGUUUCGAUUCCAGGUAGGUCCA
rnacentral:tRNA from 1 species